rnacentral:tRNA from 1 species
GCAUCCGUAGCUCAAUUGGAUAGAGCAUCGGUCUUCGGAACCGAAGGUUGUAGGUUCGAGUCCUACCGGGUGUA